GGAUUAGAUACCCUGGUAGUCCUAGCUGUAAACGAUGGGCACUGGGUAGAGGGGGCGUCGAUACCUUCUCUGCCGUAGCUAAUGUGUUAAGUGCCCCGCCUGGGGAGUACGGUCGCAAGGCUAAAACUCAAAGGAAUUGACGGGGGCUCACACAAGCGGUGGAGCAUGUGGUUUAAUUCGAAGCAACGCGAAGAACCUUACCCGGGUUUGAAAUCCAUGGAUGCAGCCUGUGAAAGCAGGUGCGCUGCCCUUCGGGGUGAAACGUGGACAGGUGUUGCAUGGCUGUCGUCAGCUCGUGUUG
rnacentral:rRNA from 1 species